AGCUAUAGGUAGAAUAGAGGGCUAGAGGGGAAUAGCAUAAUAGCUUUGACGCGUAAGAAGUUGUGGAUGUUGGUGAGCCAACCCUUUUGCUAGCUGGCUGUCGGGGAGAGGUCCCCAGAUCCCUCUCGCACUGCACGUGACUUACCCCCUCCCUCUCCCUUCCCUUCUCCUCUCUCUCUUUCCUGUCUCACUCUCUCCUUGGCAGCUCUGAAACAAAAAGCAAAUCAUCGCUUUCUUCUUCCAUCAAUCCAAAACUCAAAUCUCUCUCUCUGUCUCUCAUUUCUUAGUCUCUCUCACUUUCUUCUCUAUCUCUCUCUCGGCUUUGGUUUGUAUGCGUUAAGACGAUUCCGCGCUAUUAACGGCUGAAUCAGAUUCAAAUGCUAUUGGAUGCCAAUCCAGAUUCAGACUGAAUGCUUGGAUCUGCUGCCGGUUACAUGAUCUCCCGCGUGAAGCAAUUGGGUCACUAAAAUAUUUAUAUCAAUGAUUUUGUAUAAUCAGAACUACCUUUAGCCUAUCUCUCUUAUGGGUUAAUGAUUGUGGCGACAUGGUUUUUCAUUCUAAAUAUAUAAGAACAUGGAGGAGACACGAGAAGAUGCAGGGCCGACAGAGCAAGGGCCAUCUAAUGUGUCGUGGUGGCCUUCAGAUUUUGUUGAAAAUUUUGGAUCUGUUUCUUUGGAUUCUCAUGAUGAGGCACUGAGUAAUAAAGAAUCUCCUGGACAUGUUGUCAAAGAUGUUUUGUCUUCUCAGAAAGCAUCACAAACUCUCUGGCGCACUGGGAUGCUUUCAGAACCCAUACCAAAUGGUUUUUACUCUGUUGUUCCGG